rnacentral:snRNA from 1 species
GUGCGCUAAUUCCAACGGUACACAGAUCAGUACUGGAAGGAAAAAGAGAAGAUCAGAAUAGCCCCUUCACAAGAACGACGCACAACAUUGUGAACCAUGAUGCAUUUUU